AGCCCCUUUCCCCCCCUACCCGCUUCCACCUUCUUCCCCCACCCGCUUCCACCACCGAGCCACGCCGCACCCGCUCUGAAACCGGCCGCCGCGCCACCUCCGACCCCCGAUCCGGCCACCGCGCCACUUUCUACCACCGGAUCCUCCCGCGGAUCCACCUCCUCCCCCUGGAUCCGCCGCCGGCCGCACCUUCUCCCCUGGAUCCGCCUGCGGCGCCAACCGCCCAUGCCCCGCCCCGCCCUGGACCCACUCACCUCCCGCCGCCGAUGCCGCGCCGCCCCGAACGUCCCCGUGGCCGGUG
rnacentral:rRNA from 1 species